UACGUAGGGUGCGAGCGUUGUCCGGAAUCAUUGGGCGUAAAGGGCGUGUAGGCGGUUUGUUAAGUCAUGUGUGAAAUCCCUCGGCUCAACCGGGGAACGACGCAUGAAACUGGCAAGCUAGAGUACCAAAGAGGGGGGUGGAAUUCCCGGUGUAGCGGUGAAAUGCGUAGAUAUCGGGAAGAACACCCGUGGCGAAGGCGGUUCUCUGGGACGGUACUGACGCUGAGACGCGAAAGCGUGGGGAGCGAACAGG
rnacentral:rRNA from 1 species